rnacentral:rRNA from 1 species
UACGUAGGGUGCAAGCGUUAAUCGGAAUUACUGGGCGUAAAGCGUGCGCAGGCGGUUCUAUAAGACAGAUGUGAAAUCCCCGGGCUCAACCUGGGAACUGCAUUUGUGACUGUAGAGCUGGAGUGCGGCAGAGGGGGAUGGAAUUCCGCGUGUAGCAGUGAAAUGCGUAGAUAUCAGGAGGAACACCGAUGGCGAAGGCAGGUCUCUGGGCUGACACUGACGCUCAUGCACGAAAGCGUGGGGAGCAAACAGG